GCCGGUUUACUGGCGAUGGUAAUCAGAUACAGAGAUAUUGAUACCUUACGUUGAAAUAAAAGUACAGAAGCUGCACGUCAACAUAAAUUACUAUUCGAAGUAUGCAUUACUUAAUUCUUGAUGUUAAAAUGCAAGGAUGUGUUCUACCCUCUGCAUGCAUGCCUAACUUUCUCCAUUUUCUUUUUUUCCCUUAUUAUUUUUUUUUGCCAGCAAUUGCCUCGUCUGCCUCAUUGUAGUUACGGCCCUGAUUCAAGGUCUUUAUAGUUGGAUCUUUUAUUAGAAGUUCUAAUAACGUUUGUCAGGACCUCAGCAGGAAUAUCAACUCUUCCUGCUGCUUUUCAAAGAUAAGCAUGAAAUACAUGUACAGCUUUUAAGACUUCUUCUUAUAUAUAUCUAUAAUAAUAUUCAAGAUAAUAACAAACUAGAGGCUCUAAAGAGCCUGUGUCGCUCACCUUCGUCUAUGUGAAUAUUCAACAGAGGACACAGAUGAAUUCAUGACAAAAUUGAGUUUUGGUGAUGGUGAUGUUUUGUAGAUCUUACUUUACUGAACAAUCUUGCUGCGUACAAUUAUCCCUAUUAAUUAGGUUUGGCCCAGUAGUUUCAGUGGAAAAUGUAAGUAAAAACUUACAAAUUUUAUGAAAAUUGUUAAAAUUUACCAUAAAGGGCAAUAACUCCUUAGGGGGUCAAUUGACCAUUUUGGUCAUGUUGACUUAUUUUUAGGUCUUACUUUGUUGAAAAUUAUUGCUGUUUACAGUUUAUCUCUAUCUAUAAUAAUAUUCAAGAUAAUAACAAAAAAGCCAAAAUUUCCUUAAAAUUACCAAUUCAGGGGCAACCUACUAACCAGUUGUCCAAUUCAUCUGAAAAUUUAAGAGCAGAUAGUUCUUGACCUGAUAAACAAUAUCAACCCCUAUCAGAAUUGCUCUAAAUGCUUUGGUUUUUGAGUUAUGAGCCAAAAACUGCAUUUUACCCCUAUGUUCUAUUUUUAGCCAUGGCGGCCAUUUUGGUUGAUUGGUCGGGUCACCGGACACAAUUUUUAAUCUAGAUACCCCAAUGAUGAUUGUGGCUAAGUUUCAUUUAAUUUGGCCCAGCAGUUUCAGAGGAGAAGAUUUUUGUAAAAGAUUACAUAGAUUUACGAAAAAUGGUUAAAAAUUGACUUUAAAGGGCAAUAACUUCUAAAGGGAUCAACUGACCAUUUUGGUCCAGUUGACUUAUUUGUAAAUCUUACUUUGCUGAACAUUUUUGCAGUUUACAGUUUAUCUCUAUCUAUAAUAAUAUUCAAGAUAAUAACCAAAAACAGCAAAAUUUCCUUAAAAUUAUCAAUUCAGUGGCAGCAACCCAACAACCAGUUGUCCAAUUCAUCUGAAAAUUUC
rnacentral:lncRNA from 1 species